AAAUAUUAUAAAUGUUUUUAUUUUACUAUAAACUAUUCUGUUGUUGUAUGGUUGUUGUUUUUUUUUCUGACCAUGAUCUAUAAAAAGCUGUUGUGGCUGUCUGUUACUGGAGAUUUCUCCAAACAAAAACAUGGAUGCUGAUUAAGAGGGACUCAUCAUAUGGCCAGUGUUCCAUUUUAUUGAAAUGCAGAAUUAGUUUGUGGUCUGGAUCAUGUGAUCUGCAAUACAUUCCAGUCCGAGGCUUUUACUUGUGAUUGCCAUCAUAACAGUGAUAACAUCAACUUGUGAUCAGUGAAGCAGGAGCACUAUAAGAAGAGCAGCAUGGCAGACAAUCAAGGAGGCCAUUCACAGCUUCCACUCACACCCGGACUGUGGAGUUUCUUUUAUUGGACUUACCUUUCUGGACACUUCCAGCCACUUGGAUUUCACUCAGAUUGGAUUGUGUAUAUACACUGCUGGACACUCACAUUGAGACUCAACAACACAUGGGGAUUCUUGGACUGUUUUUAGGGUUCAUUACAAGAAUCAACCCUGGUGCCACCAAAUGCCAUUCAAAGUCACAGAUGAGAAAAGAAGCAUCAGACUAAAUCCCCUCAUGGUGUUUCUCAUCAGAGAGCUUGUCAGCUUUGCCAAAAUUACUGAAAUUUAACACAACACAAACUAAUGUUUUACUGUAUUUUAUUUCUGUAAAGCCUGUUUUGGGGGGACUGUGAUGAUGCCCUUUUUCAGCUAGUGCAAGCUAGAGG